UCUGGGUCUGUAACUGACGCUGAGGCUCGAAAGCGUGGGGAGCAAACAGGAUUAGAUACCCCUGGUAGUCCACGCCGUAAACGAUGAGUGCUAAGUGUUGGAGGGUUUCCGCCCUUCAGUGCUGCAGCUAACGCAUUAAGCACUCCGCCUGGGGAGUACGACCGCAAGGUUGAAACUCAAAGGAAUUGACGGGGGCCCGCACAAGCGGUGGAGCAUGUGGUUUAAUUCGAAGCAACGCGAAGAACCUUACCAGGUCUUGACAUCCUUUGACCACUCUAGAGAUAGAGCUUCCCCUUCGGGGGCAAAGUGACAGGUGGUGCAUGGUUGUCGUCAGCUCGUGUCGUGAGAUGUUGGGUUAAGUCCCGCAACGAGCGCAACCCUUAUUGUUAGUUGCCAUCAUUCAGUUGGGCACUCUAGCAAGACUGCCGGUGACAAACCGGAGGAAGGUGGGGAUGACGUCAAAUCAUCAUGCCCCUUAUGACCUGGGCUACACACGUGCUACAAUGGGAAGUACAACGAGUCGCGAAGUCGCGAGGCUAAGCUAAUCUCUUAAAGCUUCUCUCAGUUCGGAUUGUAGGCUGCAACUCGCCUACAUGAAGCCGGAAUCGCUAGUAAUCGCGGAUCAGCACGCCGCGGUGAAUACGUUCCCGGGCCUUGUACACACCGCCCGUCACACCACGAGAGUUUUGUAACACCCGAAGUCGGUGAGGU
rnacentral:rRNA from 1 species